rnacentral:rRNA from 1 species
CCUACGGGCGGCAGCAGUGGGGAAUAUUGGACAAUGGGGGCAACCCUGAUCCAGCCAUGCCGCGUGUGUGAAGAAGGCCCUCGGGUUGUAAAGCACUUUCAGUGAGGAAGAACGCCUGGUGGUUAAUACCCAUCAGGAAAGACAUCACUCACAGAAGAAGCACCGGCUAACUCCGUGCCAGCAGCCGCGGUAAUACGGAGGGUGCGAGCGUUAAUCGGAAUUACUGGGCGUAAAGCGCGCGUAGGUGGCUUGAUAAGCCGGUUGUGAAAGCCCCGGGCUCAACCUGGGAACGGCAUCCGGAACUGUCAAGCUAGAGUGCAGGAGAGGAAGGUAGAAUUCCCGGUGUAGCGGUGAAAUGCGUAGAGAUCGGGAGGAAUACCAGUGGCGAAGGCGGCCUUCUGGACUGACACUGACACUGAGGUGCGAAAGCGUAGGUAGCAAACAGGAUUAGAUACCCUAGUAGUC